rnacentral:rRNA from 1 species
UACGAAGGGUGCAAGCGUUACUCGGAAUUACUGGGCGUAAAGCGUGCGUAGGUGGUUUGUUAAGUCUGAUGUGAAAGCCCUGGGCUCAACCUGGGAAUUGCAUUGGAUACUGGCAGGCUAGAGUGCGGUAGAGGAUGGCGGAAUUCCCGGUGUAGCAGUGAAAUGCGUAGAGAUCGGGAGGAACAUCUGUGGCGAAGGCAGCUCGCUGGAACGGUACUGACGCUGAGGCGCGAAAGCGUGGGGAGCGAACAGG